rnacentral:lncRNA from 1 species
AGAUUUUUUUUAUUAUUCGGAUUGUAUGGAUAGAUUAUUAGGAUUUUCAAGUUAUUAAGAUUAUAUGUGAUGUUUAAUUAUUAGGAUUAUAUGAAUAGAUUAUUUAAUUUUUUUUUAUUGUUAGGAUUAUAUAGAUAGAUUAUUAGAAUUUUAAGAUUGUUAAGAUUAUAUAUAAUUUUAGAAUUAUAUAUAGAAUAUAAAAAAAAGUAAAUAAAGGCAUAUUUGUUUCACCGAAAGUAGAUUUUGAGUUGAAGUGGAUUUUGGACUGAAGUGAAGUUCGAUGAAAACUACUUUUCGGUUAUUUGUUUCGUAGUUAUAGAAGUGAAGCUUCAUUAGUUUUACUGUUUAUUUGGUAGAAAGUGUAUAAUAUAAAAUUAUAAUUCAUAUAUUUAUAUAAUAAAUAAUUUAAUAAAUAAAAGUAAUAUAAUUGUAUUUUUAUAUAAUUUAAAUUUAAUUUAAAAUAGCUAAAUUAUUUUUUAUACAAAAAUUAUUAGUAAUAUACAACAAUAAAAUUAUAAAGUAAAAAAAUAUUAAUACUUAACUAAUCAAUUUUUAUCAUAUUUUAAUUGUACAAAUUAAAUAAAAAAAUAGUAAGACUUAAUUAAUCAAUUUUUAUUAUAUUUUAAAUAUGCCAACUGAAUAAAAGAAUAACUAAUACCAUAAUUAAAUAUAUUUAAAUAUACCCUUCUUUACCUAGUAUAUUAUUUUAUUAUUUUUUUCUUUACCUCCCUUCACCGUAAUUAACUUCGGUCCAUGAUAGGCCAAAGCCCAUUACGCAGUUUCAGAUUAGCUCGAGUUUCGAACCAAACAACGAAAGUGAUCGUUUAUGGUGAAAACAACUUUCCCCCUCUCCAUUUCCACCUCACUUUCACCCAAAAAAACAUGCCUUUAGUGAAAGACAGUGAAUAAUUCAUUAUUUUUGUGAAAAAUUAGAAAGGCGGUGAAUCAUUUACCGUUUUUAUGAAGGCGGUGAAUUAUUUACCGUCUUUAAAAGAAA